CCAACUAGGAUUGUAAGGUGACACCAUGUCUCAAAAAUAAAAAUGAAGAAAUUACUGUUUCCUGCUUGGUUUUCUAACAUGGCCUCUUGCAUACACUCUGAAGACUCACCUGCCCACAAUGUAUGACCUCCCAAUCUCAUCUGCCGUACUGAAUACCACACCCACUUUCCCAAACACGCCCCUUCUGGUUCCUUGCGUUCUGAGCCUGUAAACUGGCUUGGAUUAAUACCGAGGCCAACCAAUUGGGUCAGAGAGCGAAAAGGAGAGGGAAUGCAUCGUGUGUGUUUCUGAAGCACGCUCAUGGAAAGGCUGUUAGUCUUUGUGCGCUCUGGGGCCACCGUACAGUUUCAGGACCUCCGGCCGCUGGGCAGGUUGAGCCUGGAGCUCCAGGAUCCUGAAGCCAGGACCUAACUGUGUCUCACCGGCUCCCUCCUCAGAUAUGCCAGUCUCUAUUUCUGCUGCGCCAUCGAAGGCCAAGACAAUGAGCUGAUCACCCUGGAGCUGAUCCACCGAUACGUAGAGCUCUUGGACAAGUACUUCGGCAGCGUAUGCGAGUUGGACAUCAUCUUCAACUUUGAGAAAGCGUACUUCAUCCUGGAUGAGUUUCUGAUGGGCGGGGACGUCCAGGACACAUCCAAGAAGAGUGUCCUCAAGGCUAUCGAGCAGGCUGACCUGCUGCAGGAGGAGGAUGAGUCGCCGCGCAGUGUCCUG
rnacentral:lncRNA from 1 species